rnacentral:rRNA from 1 species
GACGAACCGAGCGAACGUUGUUCGGAAUCACUGGGCUUAAAGGGCGCGUAGACGGGCUGUCAAGUCUGGGGUGAAAUCCCGCGGCUCAACCGUGGAACUGCCUCAGAUACUGACGGUCUCGAGGGGGAUAGGGGCGAGCGGAACUGUGAGUGGAGCGGUGAAAUGCGUUGAUAUUCACAGGAACUCCGGUGGCGAAGGCGGCUCGCUGGAUCUCUUCUGACGCUGAGGCGCGAAAGCUAGGGGAGCAAACGGG